CCUACGGGAGGCAGCAGUAGGGAAUAUUGCGCAAUGGGGGAAACCCUGAAGCAGCAACGCCGCGUGGAGGAUGAAGGUUUUCGGAUUGUAAAGUCCUUUUGUUAGAGACGAUAAUGACGGUAUCUAACGAAUAAGCCCCCGCUAACUCCGGGCCAGCAGCCGCGGGAAUACGGUGGGGGCAAGCGUUACUCGGAAUCUCCGGGUGUAAAGGGCGCGUUGGCGGGCAAGGAAGUCAGAAGUGAAAUCCUGUGGCUUAACCCUCAAACUGCUUUUGAAACUGGUUGUUUUGAGGAAUGGAGAGGCAGGUGGAAUUUCUAGUGGAGGGGUGAAAUGCGUAGAGAUUGAGGGGAA
rnacentral:rRNA from 1 species